CUGUUGUGAAGCGUGUAAAUAAGAGGAGUGUUUUGUCAAGGAAUGACUGCGAGGUUCGCUGAAUGCUUUAGACCACGGCCUGCACUCUCCCCAGGAUCAACACUUUCUUGUUUUUAUUAGGGCUCUUUUUUUUCUCCAAGCGCUUUAUAAAAUUUGUGUUCAUAUGAAUAUAAUUAUUUUUUAUCCCAGUGACCUGGAAAGCACGGCAGCGAGAAGCACCGCAGUGUGUGGCGGAGAAGACAUUUUCUCUGGGAGGAGACACCCCAGAGUGGUGUCCUCAUCUGCAGUUGGAAGGUCCUGAGAUGCCACCAUUCACACAAAAGUCACUAGAAAGGACAGCAGAGGAAUCAGAUGAGAGGAGACAGAAGAGGAGAGACCGAGAAGAGGAGACGGGGGAGAAGAGACAGAAAAGAGGAGCCAGGAAAGGAGAGAGGAAAGGAGAAAGAGGAGAAGAGAAAAAAACAGAAGAGAGGAGACAGAGGAGCGGAGAGGAAAGAAAAGAUGGAAGGAAAUCAACAACCAUCCAAUGCUCAAGUCCAGCGUGAGGGUGUUGGAAUAAAACUAUGAUUUCAAGAGCUGGGAUCUAUUGUUUUCUCUCUCUCUCUGUCUCUAUCUCCUGCCCUUGUAUAAAAUGUACCUCCCCUCCCCUCUGUCAGAGCAUUAGAGAGUAGUUAACCCUUUCAAAUCACUCCCAGAUUGAGGACUCCCUCUGUGCCUCCCUGGUACUCCAGGCUGCUGGCAGCAACAAAAGGCUUGAUUGGCCAAAUAAUCAGAUCCCGACUGGGCAGUGAGAGGGCUCAUUUAGGGGUCCAUCAUCAGCUGCUCCUUUGGCUGCUGCCUCCCCCAGCCUUCUCCCUUCAUCUCCUUUCCUCCCCCAGUCUCCUCCCUUUGUCUCCUUUCCUCCUCCCUUCAUCUCCUUUUCUCCCCUAGCCUCCUCCCUUCAUCUCCAUUCCUCCCCAAUCCUUAUCCUUUGUCUCCUUUCCUCCCCCAGUCUCCUCCCUUCAUCUCUUUUCCUCCCCCAGUCUCCUCCCUUUGUCUCCUUUUCUCCCAAAGCCUCUCCAAUCCUGUUGAUUCUCCCCACCAUAACCUCCGCCCGUCACUCCCUGCCUCCCUUGUCCUCCCCCUCCUCCCCAGUUCAGUAAUUAGUGUGUGGUGGCAGAACCUCACGUGGCUCAGGUUGAGAGAGACACUUGACAAGGCAGACAUCAGAGAGGAGGCUCUCGCGGCGCCCCAACAGUCUCUUAAUUAUCCACUUAGGUAUCCCCGCUCUCCUCGCACUCUCCUCGCACUCAUUCCCCCACACCGCUGCGCGCCGCGCGCUCCACGCGGUCGGGGCUGUCUGCCCAUCUAAACACCGGGGAAGCUUGGCUAUCAAAAGAUGUUGUAAAUGAAGGCUUGUGUAAAUUAUUUUUAAUGGUUCCCUCCUGGCUGCUCAUUAUAUUUGUAGUUCCAGUCAGGCACUUGUGAGACGCCUCAGCCUGAAGAAGGUCAGCGGCAGGACCACUGGAAUGAGCCUCAGUCUGUAAAUGCUGGUUUAAUUAGCAACGUGGUUUUACAUAGCUAGCAGCUCUGAUGUAUGGAGCUGGAAUUGUAAUUGUGUGGGAUCGAAAAGGAUAACCCAUCUCAGGGCUACUUAUGCAAAUUGCCAUAUUAGAAAAUCAUUACCUAUCCAAACACUGUGCCACUGUGUGAAUUACAAUGAUGGAUUUUAUGAUAAUUGCGAUUUAAUUUCUUCUGUCUGAAUUUUUUGAAAAUAAUUUGGCCAUUCUGAGUGCCAUUAAUUCUGUAUUAGUUAGAGUUGAAUGGAUGGCUUAUAAUUAAUUUAGAGUGAGUUUCGAUUUGCAAGUGAUCAUGGUUUAGCGGAACAGGAGAGGACUUGUUGCUGUUUCAGAGUAUCAGACCGAGAUCUAUUUAAAGAGUAAAAUGAGCCAUAACAUCAUUGUGUGCUCUAUGUAGUGGUAAGACCAGUAAAGCCCCACCCUGGCUCCGGCUGAAUUAAUUACAGCCCAUUUAAAUACAAAGCUGCAUGGAAUAAUGAUGACACUCCUGUGUGGCUCAGUUUAUGGAGCAGGGUGCUUGAAAUACCAAGGUUGUGGCUAAACAUUUUCUCAGGGGACCAGUGUAAAAUGUUUUGAAAUUGUAACUCAAUACUGUAUGUUGCUCUGGAUAGAGUGGCUGUCCAAUAAACAACACGUUUAAUGUAAAUUAAGCCAAAUCGUGAUAUUUUAAUUAUGGUAUUGACAGAUAUAUGGUCGCUCAAACCAAAAGGAAACUAACAUAGAAAUCACUA
ensembl:lncRNA